AACGCACGAGACCUGCGGACCUGCGGAAGGAUCAUUAAAGGUUUAGGGUACCUAGUGCCCAAACUUCAACCCUAUGUUUUGUUAACCUGUUUCUUUGCCGGUUCCGGCCGGCAGAAGACUUCUCAAACUCCCUAUAAAUCUGCUCUGAAUAUAUAAAAAAAAUCGUUAAAACUUUUAACAAUGGAUCUCU
rnacentral:misc_RNA from 1 species